rnacentral:lncRNA from 1 species
CCGAAGGGUUAGGGUCACAGGCAUGCUCUCCUACAGCUGGGUAAAGGAAGUCUCUAUUGCCCUAAACUUACAGCUCAUGUUUAAUUUUGUUCCUCUUAGAAAAUCAACCCAAACUGGGGGCAAAAAUCAGCAGAGUCGGGUUGGUAGGACAGACAACAUGGCUUUUGUGUCUUUUCCAGUGCUUGGUGUUGGAUCCAUGGCCUUGUCAUACCAGCAUGUGUUCUACCACUGAACUAUCCCUAGCUUUUUUUCUUUCUUUCCUUUUAAUUUUUGAGACAGAGUCUUGAUAAGUUGCACUGGCUGGCCUUGAGCUGCUUGGUCUCAGUAGCCUACGUAGCUGGGGAGACAGGCCUGCAUUGCUGGCCAGGCCAGUGGAGAGUCUCAACUGCC